CGACUAACAAGCUCUAAGCUUGGUAUUGGAUGUCACUAUUUUAGGUGCAUCUUAAAGUCAAGGAGCAGGACUCCCAGCUUUCAAGCGCAGUAAUUUAAUCUUGCUUCUGGAGCCUGGAUGAUGUUCUGCUAAAGAGUUAAAUUAUCAAU
rnacentral:misc_RNA from 1 species